AUCUACGGCCAUACCACCCUGAACGCACCCGUCUGAUCUCGGAAGCUAAGCAGGGUCGAGCCUGAUUAGUACUUGGAAGGGAGAAAUCUAAAGACCUUUUAAUU
ensembl:rRNA 5S_rRNA 5S ribosomal RNA